rnacentral:rRNA from 1 species
CCUACGGGGAGCAGCAGUGAGGAAUAUUGGUCAAUGGACGCAAGUCUGAACCAGCCAAGCCGCGUGCAGGAAGACGGCUCUAUGAGUUGUAAACUGCUUUUGUACGAGGGCAAACGCAGAGACGCGUAUCUGUCUGCAAGUAUCGUACGAAUAAGGAUCGGCUAACUCCGUGCCAGCAGCCGCGGUAAUACGGAGGAUUCAAGCGUUAUCCGGAUUUAUUGGGUUUAAAGGGUGCGUUGGCGGUCGGAUAAGUUAGAGGUGAAAUCCCGAGGCUCAACCUCGGACGUGCCUCUGAUACUGUUCGGCUAGAGAGUAGGUGCGGUAGGCGGAAUGUAUGGUGUAGCGGUGAAAUGCUUAGAGAUCGUACAGAACACCGAUUGCGAAGGCAGCUUACCAGGCUACUUCUGACGUUGAGGCACGAAAGCGUGGGGAGCGAACAGGAUUAGAUACCCGAGUAGUC